rnacentral:rRNA from 1 species
UCCGGCGGCUAUACCGGAGGGGCCACACCCGUUCCCAUCCCGAACACGGAAGUUAAGCCCUCCAGGGCCGAUGGUACUGCAGGGGAGACUCUGUGGGAGAGUAGGACGCCGCCGGAA